rnacentral:rRNA from 1 species
CAGGCCUAACACAUGCAAGUCGAACGGUGGCAGCAAUGCUAUAGUGGCGCACGGGUGCGUAACACGUAACUAACCUGCCCAGACCUGGGGGAUAGCCCGCCGAAAGGCGGAUUAAUACCGCAUGAGAUAAUAAGGUGGCAUCACCUAGUUAUUAAAGAUUUAUCGGGUUUGGAUGGGGUUGCGGGUCAUUAGCUAGUUGGUAAGGUAAUGGCUUACCAAGGCGACGAUGACUAGGGAAGCUGAGAGGCUGGUCCCCCACACGGGCACUGAGAUACGGGCCCGACUCCUACGGGAGGCAGCAGUAGGGAAUAUUGGGCAAUGGGCGAGAGCCUGACCCAGCCAUGCCGCGUGCAGGAAGAAGGCUUUCUGAGUCGUAAACUGCUUUUGACAGGGAAGAAUAAGCUGUACGUGUACAGUGAUGACGCUACCUGGANAAUAACCACCCUCUAACUCCAUNCCAUCA